GAGCGGGGAUUACGUUGGUGCUUGCACCGAUGUAAUUCUAGCGGCGGACGGGUGAGUAACGCGUGAGUAAUCUGCCCUAUACAGUGAAAUAACAAUUAGAAAUGAUUGCUAAAACCGCAUAAGCCCCCGGGUAGGGCAUCCUUCUGAGGGAAAAUAUUUAUAGGUAUAGGAGGGGCUCGCGUCUGAUUAGCUAGUUGGUGGGGUAAAGGCUUACCAAGGCGACGAUCAGUAGCCGACCUGAGAGGGUGAUCGGCCACAUUGGGACUGAGACACGGCCCAAACUCCUACGGGAGGCAGCAGUGGGGAAUAUUGCGCAAUGGGGGAAACCCUGACGCAGCAACGCCGCGUGAAGGAUGAAGGGUUUCGGAUCGUAAACUUCUUUAGGCAGGGACGAAGACAGUGACGGUACCUGCAGAAUAAGCCCCGGCUAACUACGUGCCAGCAGCCGCGGUAAU
rnacentral:rRNA from 1 species